AACGAACGCUGGCGGCGUGCCUAAGACAUGCAAGUCGUACGGAAAGGCCCUCUUCGGAGGGCACUCGAGUGGCGCACGGGUGAGUAACGCGUGGGCAAUCUACCUUAGGGUCUGGGACAACCCCGGGAAACUGGGGCUAAUACUGGAUAAGACCACGAGCUCUUCGGAGCUUGCGGGAAAAGAUGGCCUCUCCUUGGAAGCUAUCGCCCUUCGAUGAGCCCGCGUCCCAUUAGCUAGUUGGUGAGGUGACGGCUCACCAAGGCUUUGAUGGGUAGCUGGUCUGAGAGGAUGAUCAGCCACACUGGAACUGAGACACGGUCCAGACUCCUACGGGAGGCAGCAGUCGGGAAUUUUGGGCAAUGGGCGAAAGCCUGACCCAGCAACGCCGCGUGAGGGAUGAAGGCCUUCGGGUCGUAAACCUCUGUCGGGAGGGAAGAACGGUUCACGUUCGAAUAGGACGGGAGCCUGACGGUACCUCCAAAGGAAGCACCGGCUAACUCCGUGC
rnacentral:rRNA from 1 species